ensembl:lincRNA
CUGGUCACUAUGGUGGACGCCUGUAAUCCCAGACUCGGGAGGCUGAGGCAGGAGGAUUGCAAGUUCGAGACCAGCCUCAGCAACUUAGCAAGACCCUCACUCAACCUAAAAAUUCAAAAAGCUAAUAAGUAAAUAAAAUUUAGAUUCCCCUGAAAAAGAAAGAAAGAAAGAAAAGAAACCUGCGAGAGCCAACUGGACCGUGUGAUGACGCUUUGUGAUAUCCUUUUGGUGACUGUAGAGAGUGCUUCAUCGUCGCCCACCUCCUGCCUUUUGGAUUCCUGGUAUGUCCACCCAGCCCCACGCAAAGAGGGUUUCCCUUCCACAGUGGUGACGCUGCGAGUUCCCUGCUGAUGUGGCCCGGAAGUUUCCUUCCUGCUCCUUCCUAACACACCCCAAGCAGAGGCCAGGAUGUGCGUGGCUUGGCCGAGGUGCCUGGGCAGAGCCGCCAAAGGUGAGAGGCAGGCGCCAGCCCCUCCUGAGGAGGGGUCAGGCCUCAGACGAGGAUGCCAGCUCGGUGGCCACCCCCACAGGCUCCUGCCACACAGGGGCCCAGAGUCCCUGUGCCCUGCUCCAGUGAUGGCCUAGCCCAGCACAUGAGGGGGACACAGAGAGUCACCAGCCUCCUCCUGGGGAAGGGUAGAGGAAGCCUCCAAGGCUGGCUCAGAAGUGGACCUGCAGUGGCUGAGGCUGCUGUCACCUGCUGGGGACGAGCCCUGCACCUCCCCCACCCACCAUGCAAAUGUCAGGAGAGGACCUCAGCACUUCCUAUCCUGUCACAGCCACUUCACUCAGGCCCAUCUGCAUUUAUUCAUUGACUUGGGCCUUCUUUCCAAACCUGGCACAGUGGUGCACACCUGUAAUCCCAGCAGCUCGGGGAGGCUGUGGCAGGAGGAUCGCAAGUUCAAGGCCAGCCUCAGCAACUUUGUGGAGCCCUGUCUCAAAAAGGUUUGUAAAAACUGAGUUGACUUCAGGAAGACCAUUAGGGAAUAAUAACACAGAAGGUUCUGGAACACCUCGACAGGCUCAGAUGCCGGCAGGAGACACCAAGUCGGAGCACCCUGCCCAGGACGGGCCCUGCUGCUCCUCCCGCCCUGGCAUGGAGCAGCUCUGCGGUUGGGCAGGGUCUGCUGCUCCCUCCCACAUUGGUCUCCUCUAAAGACAGGAACAUGAGGCACCCAACGAGGAGGAAGCCGUGGCCGGGAAGGGACCCUGGAGGACAAUCCCAUUGGCAGGUGGCAAAGGGUCUUUAAGGCGCAAAGGAGCCAGAGAUUGCUCCCUUCCACCUUAGGUAGCCACUGACCCAUGCUGAGCCCUCUGACACUCCACUGAAGACCUGCGACAGCUACAGUGACAGUCACGGUGGCAUGAAGAGGACAGCCAAGGCUCCUGCCCUCUGAGAUGACCUUGCAAUGGGAGCAGAGACCAGACAAAAAAUAAAUAAAUGAGAUCAUGCCAGAGAGCGGCAUCCCAGGGAGAAAAGCCAUGGCUGGAGAGGGGACAUGGGACACCCUCGCCUUCUGCUGUAACUUGCAGGGUGGCGAAGGGCCAGCCCAGGAGGAGGCAGGCAGGAGAGGGCCCCGCGGUGGAACACAGGACACAGCCCGGGUGGCUGGGUGAGAGUGAGCCUGCUGCAGGAACCCUCAGGUGCUGCUGCGUGGCUCAGGGACAGGGGACAGUGGCUUGGGCCAGAGGGCAAAAGAAAAUGGAGGAGGGAUCCAGGAUCAGCAGGACUGUGGACAGCUUGGAGGGAGUCACGGUGAGAGAGGAGAGGGGAGGGGUGCAGUUCCCCAUGAAGGACGGAGCCUGACCCUCCAGCCCCACCUCCUGGCCCAGCCUUGUGGCUCUGCUGUGCUCCCCCAGCCCCCACUGGGACUUGCAGGAUCUGGGAGGGGCUCCCUCAGCACGGAGCAGAGGGCCAAGGCCAAGGUGGCUCCCAGCUCCAGCCUGAGAAGGCUCCAGGCAGAGGCUUGGGAUUAG